rnacentral:rRNA from 1 species
UGGGGAAUAUUGCACAAUGGGCGAAAGCCUGAUGCAGCAACGCCGCGUGAGUGAUGAAGGUCUUCGGAUUGUAAAGCUCUGUCUUUUGGGACGAUAAUGACGGUACCAAAGGAGGAAGCCACGGCUAACUACGUGCCAGCAGCCGCGGUAAUACGUAGGUGGCGAGCGUUGUCCGGAUUUACUGGGCGUAAAGGGUGCGUAGGCGGAUGUUUAAGUGAGAUGUGAAAUACCCGGGCUUAACUUGGGUGCUGCAUUUCAAACUGGAUAUCUAGAGUGCAGGAGAGGGGAAUGGAAUUCCUAGUGUAGCGGUGAAAUGCGUAGAGAUUAGGAAGAACACCAGUGGCGAAGGCGAUUCUCUGGACUGUAACUGACGCUGAGGCACGAAAGCGUGGGUAGCAAACAGGAUUAGAUACCCUGGUAGUCCACGCCGUAAACGAUGAGUACUAGGUGUAGGAGGUAUCGACCCCUUCUGUGCCGCAGUAAACACAUUAAGUACUCCGCCUGGGAAGUACGAUCGCAAGAUU